rnacentral:rRNA from 1 species
UCUCCUACGGGGGGCAGCAGUGGGGAAUAUUGCACAAUGGGGGGAACCCUGAUGCAGCAAUGCCGCGUGAAGGAUGAAGGUUUUCGGAUUGUAAACUUCUUUUGUACGGGACGAAGAAAGUGACGGUACCGUAAGAAUAAGCCACGGCUAACUACGUGCCAGCAGCCGCGGUAAUACGUAGGUGGCAAGCGUUAUCCGGAUUUACUGGGUUUAAAGGGCGUGUAGGCGGGAUUGCAAGUCAGAUGUGAAAACUAUGGGCUCAACUGAUAGAGUGGAUUUGAACCUGCAGUUCUU